rnacentral:lncRNA from 1 species
UCAUAUAUAUGUAUCAUAUCACUAAUACUCCCCCAUAUCGUAUCAUAUAUAUCAUAUGAUAUAUAUAUGUAUCAUAUCACUAAUACUUCCCCCUCAAGUCUGAUGAUGUGAACAAGUCAGCUUGUCCUUGAGAUCUUUGAAGAGUUUGGGCUUCAAUGCUUUAGUGGGAAUAUCUGCUUGUUGUAGAACAUUCGGUAUGUGUUGCAGAACAAGAGUUUUGUCCUCCAUUCUUUCUUGAACAAAUCUGAAAUCCAUGGCUGCAUGUUUGAUUUUGUAGUGAUAAACCGGAUUGGCAGCCAAAUGAGUUGCUCCUAAGUGCACAAACAAUGAAGGAUCAGAUUGGCUUGGUAAUUGGUAUAAAACCCAUUAAAUUCAGCACCAUUUUUAGUCUGCGAAACCACAUCCUUGAAGAUUGUUUGAGACCAUAGAUAGCUUUCUUCAAUAGGCAGACGUGAUUUGGACAUUAUUCAUCCAUAAAGCCUCUAGGUUGAUACAUUAAAAUCCUCUCUUCCAAUUGACCAUGUAAAAAUGCAUUACUUAUGUCAAUUUGAUUAAGUUUCCAACGUCUUGAGACUGCAAUAGUUAAUACUCAAAUAGAUAGAAAUUUUACAACUGGACUGAAUGUCUCAUUGUAAUCUCUGCCUUCAAUCUGAUCACUCCCAUUUGCCACUAGCCUUGCCUUCAAUCUGUCCACACUGCCAUCUGAUUUUUCUUUGACUUUAAACAGCCAUAUAGAAUUAAUCACAUUGUCUGUUGGCAUCCUUGGUACCAACUCCCAUGUGUCAUUAUUAACGAGCGCAUCAUAUUCUUUCUUCAUAGCUGAUUUCCAUCCUUCAUUCUCCAAAGCUUGCUUGACUGAAGAUGAAACUGAAAUUUCAAAAGCUAAUAUAGACAGUGCAUACCUAGGAUUAGGCUUCUUAAUCCCUGCAGCUCCUCUAGUGAAGGGGCGGGCACCUCUCAUAAUCAGUUAAUUUUACUGAUUUUGAAAUUAAGAACUCAUCUCUAGAGCUUGAAUCUAAAGAAAUUAGUGAUAUGAUACAUAUAAUUAGCCAUCUUUGGAUCAAAUCCAGCAGCUCAUGUCCUCGCAAGAUGACAACGAAUUGCGUGCGCCAAGCGAAGUAGUUUGAGCGGUCUAGCGUCACAGUCUUCAGAUGCUUGAUGAAAACUAUCUUAGAAGCAUCUGAAUUUUCGACUCUACUCCUAUCAACAAUGCCGUCCUCCAUUGCAGCGGAAUUCAAGAAAAUGAAGGAUUGUUGAGGAGAAAAUCCAGGAUCGAGGAAACUCUCUCUCUAACAAACUGAUACCAUAUAAGAGAUGUAAAUAAGUAGGAGAGAUACGUGAUCCCUUUUCAUUCCCAAUGAGUAUCAUAUAUAUACAACUUAAUACUACAAUAUCAUAUCACUAAUUAGUAUCGUAUCGUAUCAUAUCAUAUAUAUGAUAUGAUAUCAAGUAUCAUAUCACUAAUACUCCUCCAUAUCAUAUCAUAUAUAUCAAAUCAUAUAUAUGUGUAUCAUAUCACUAAUACUCCGCCACAAGCUUCGUUCCACUAAACAUACUUCAUUGAUGACCAUGUCCGAGUAUUUGAUGAUGUUAAAAACUGAUGUUGAUCUUGCCUCCGCUGGCACUAUCAUCCCCGAUGGGGCGAUGACGAUCUAGUGAACUAUGUCCUUGAUGGGUGCAGCCAAGCUACCGAUCAUUCCUUACAGCACUCUCGAUGUGUCCUUCACCAACAACGUUUGAUGAGCUCCAUGUCAUGCUUCUUACGGAAGAAGAUUUACUCCAACGAACUGAAUCUACAUCACGACCAAAGGCCUUGUAUACUUCAAAGGAUAAAAAUCUCAACAAAAGUAAGAGAUCUUGCUGUUGAGGGAAUGAAACAGAGUAAUUGCUAGACAACAAGUUGGAUGAACUGUGAUUUUAUAAGGCUCAUGGCCAAGAUAUAAAUACACAAAUCUAGUCACCUUUGUAACAGAGCACUACUUUCUAUAAUCUAGCAUGUUAGAUCUAAAUCUCAGAAGUUUCUAGAUUUAAUUAUUUAAUUACACAUUAUUAACUAAUUACACAAAUACCCUUAUAAUAUCACUAAUAAAUUCAUACAAGUAAAAUCUAAUCCAAGUACAAUUACAUCAAUCUGAAAUCUGAAAGUGAGAUAAGAGUUUUUAAAUUAUGUUAGAAUAGAGGGGUAAAAUAGGAAAAAAAGUAUAUUAGGUGAAAAUAUUAUUAAAUAAUAGGUGUAAUUGGGUGAUCGAGUGGUUCUUUACCCGAACCCACUCGAUCACCCGCUCUGGAAAAAUCGCUCCUCCAAGAGAGCUUUAGCGCGCUUAAAGCGGUACUUUUAAAACUAUGAAUAAAACUAGGUUUAUUAAAUUCCACGAAUAAAAAUAAAGACGCGAUGCGGAACAUGGUCAGAUGCUUUUUGUCCCCAAUUGUCACGAUCCGAUUACCUCCAAUUAAGAUUAAGUACUCAAGUAGUCGUACUUACAAAUCAGAAAAAUAAUAUACACAUAUGACUACAUGAGUCAUAUGACUCAGUACAGAAAGCCAUAGCUAUUCCUCCACUAAUAUGACUGAGAAAAUCUGUGAAUAAUAAUAAAAUAAUUCCCGGACCCUUAUCGAGAUCCGCCUUAUAGCUCUAUCGAAUUGUAACAACACAAACUUGAUUCCUUUGAACCCGAACUUGAUCCCGUCGGAUCCGAACUGGUACAUCGAGCCCGGAAUAAUCCCUUAGGAUUCGAAUGUGUAACAACACAUCCAAAAUAAGGUAUAAACAAAUCAGAUUUUUUAAUCAUGCAUAAUCAGAUUUAUUUAUGGUUAAUCAGAUUUAGUGCUAUUAAAAAUGCAGUGGCAGAUUAUAAAUAAAGUAGGCAAAAAUCAGAUUUUUAGCAUGCAUAAUCAGGUUCAUUUAAGCUUAAUCAGAUUUAAUGAUACUUAAACAUGCAGUAACAUAUUUCAAAUAAAGUAGGAAAAAAUAUCAGAAUUUAACAUGCAUAAUCAGAUUCACGUAUGCAGGUAUGCAUAAUCAGAUUUAAUUGUUCUAAAUAUGCAGCAAUUGAUUUUAUAUAAAGUAUGCCCCGAAAAUCAGAUUUCUAAACAUGCGUGAGCAGAUUCAAUAGGCAUAGUAUGACACUAUAACUUGUUUAUAAAAUGAAAUUUCAUUCAGGUCAUGAAAUGAAAAAUAUAGUUGCAUAAGCCCCCGCCCAUCAUGUGAGUAGGGUAGUGGUAUGGAUAUAAAAUUUAAGAGUAAAUAUAUAGAACUUAGACUAUUUCGUAAUCACCCCUUGUGCGAGAAGAAUGCCCAAAACAGUUAGAGAAUGACACCCAAACUCAAACUACGAAGCAUAACAUCCACUAGCACAAUGAAUCAGAUAAAACAUGAAGCAACGAAUAAAAAAUAUUUCUAUUAACACAGAUCGAUUUGCCCAAAUCGUUGGGAAAAAAUACCUCAAAACUCACAACGAAUCACAUAGAACACCCCUCACGGUGUUAAGAAUGUUACACAAGCACUUUGUAAUCCCGAAUGGGUUAAGGCUAUGAAUGAUGAUAUCAAUGCACUUCGAGAGAAUGAAACUUGGGAAUUAGUAGCAUCGGUGACCGACUGAACAUAGUAGGGUGUCGUUGGGUUUAUCGUAUCAAACAAAAAGCCGAUGGGUCUCUAGACAGAUACGCGUCUUGUAGCAAUGUAGCCAAAGGUUCCCAUCAACGUGAAUGGUUGGACUUCGAUCUCACAUAUAGUCCGGUUCAGAAAAACGCAUGUUGUGGUAAUGUACUAAUGUCAAAGGCACCAUAAAUUUGGAACCAAAUUUCCAACCGUCAACGAGCACGACAUUGACGGCUUGACGCUAUUUUUUGAUUCUGACUGGGUCGGCGAUCACGACAAUCGCUGGUCCAAUACUGGCUCCUGUCUGUAUUUAAGCACAAAUCUUGUUUCAUGGCUUUCAAAGAAACAGGCAACGGUUUCUCACUCAAGCACCCAACCCGAGUACCGUACUAUAGCUUACUCAACAGAAGAACAGAGUUGUUAUUAUUCUCUUCUUCACGAAUUGGGUAUCCUUGUUCCACGAGCACCUCGAAUUCUUACAGAUAGUAGAUCGGCGAUAUUUACAGUAUUAAACACAGUUGUUCAACCAAGGACAAUGCAUAUUGGCAUCGACUAACAUUAUACAAGGGAAUUUUUAGCAGCCUGUGAUCUCACAGUUUCUUAUUCUGUCGAGUAUUUAAACAGCAGAUGUCUUCACAAAAGCCUUAUGAACACAAGCCUUUGGAAUAAUGAUAAUUAGAAAUAACUAAUUUAUUGUAAUUACAUAUGUGGUCAUCACAAUAGUGGACAACCACGACUGUAUUUCAGUGAAUUGUUAUUCCUAAAGUUUAUAAAGGAAUAACACCCUCCCUCCUUUUGGAUCGAUCGAUUCUAUUUGAUUCCUCCAUUCCCUGGUGCAUUAAUAUAAGGAACAUGAUAUGAAGUAAAUUUAUUACCGGCUUAGCCUGGUUGAUUUUUCUAAUCAUAUACACUUAGAUUGGUAAUGGCACAAAUAUCAUAUGAAAAGAAGCAUUUUUACUGUAAUUUUCAUCUAAUGGUGAAGAUGUUAGAAAAGGGUAAAGGAAAUACCUGCUUUAACUUUCCGGUGGAUUCAAUCAUACGACCUUGGAGCUCUACAUACGCCUGAAAAUUAAAUUAAAAAAUAGGACAUCGAAUGAUACCCAAAAACAAAUGAAAGGAAGGAGAAAAGAUGAAAUAGUACUGUUCUGGUGCCUUCGUCCGCCAUUUUGAAAGAGUUUGGGAAGAGGAAAACAAACCCUAAUUUCAAACACCCCCAACACUAUGACAGUACAAAAAUAGGUAAAUUCUGGGUCUUUGCACUUUUAGAGUUUUAGAAGAGGAGAAGACGAAAGACGAUCUCAAUUUUCAAUUUCUCAGUUCUCACCCCGAAAGACGGGUUAUUUAAAUAUCUGCCCUUGUUUUUUUAUUACCACUUUAAUAAAAUAUUUAUAAUGACUCCUCUAUAAUUAUGUCAUUAUGUGUAGCCAGCCGGAACAAUUCUGGUUCAGACUCACCCAGUUACCAAAAUCAGGUCUGGGCCCAGUAAUAUAGAAUGCACUUAACGGCCAUGUGUACGCAUCCAUCAAUGCACACAUAUCGCCGUCGACGUACCCACUUACUCAUCUUUUCAAUUCGCUCUUUACUUUCAUGCAUAGUAGGAAUGUUAGAUUUCUCUUUGACGUUUUAAGUAUGGUAACAAAAAUCGUUUAAGUUUUAAUUAAGUUCUUAACCUUAAGCUUUCAAGCAUGGUAUCAGAGCAGAGCGGGUAUAGAUCUCGUUCUUAAACAACAACCAAAACCAAAUUUUUAAAAUGGAGAACCUAAAGAUGGCGUUAUUGGAAUAUUGGUUAGUUAUAUUAAUAUUCUUUAUAUUAACUUUAAUUAUAUUUUCUUAUCCUUAAGUAACAAACUUCACUCACUUUGUUAGGAGUUUGUAAUUCAAUCAAGUGUAUAAAUACACAAGGCAAUACAAUCUAUCGUUUUGUUUGCCCUAAAUCAUAUCAUCUUGUUUUAUUUUCUCUUCAUGGAUCACUUUCAAUCAUCAUCCAACUUUAAUUCAUCCAACAUGGUAUCAUUUAGGGGUGAGAUUCCCCGUACCCGUACGGAGACGAGGAUGAUUUUCCUACCCGAAACUGAAAAUUCUCCGUCCCCUACCGAAAUUCUCGGUCAUUUCCGGGUACGGAGAUGGGGAUCAAAAUCCGAAGGGUAAGGGUAUUUGUCAAUAUUUAUUACAUAUUUUUUUUCAACAACAAAAAUCCGAAGGGAUAUUUUUUUCAAUUUUAUCAGAAAAUAUGUGUUGAUCACAAGUUCAUUACAAGUGAAAAAUAACUAGGACAAAGGUAUUUGUCAACAUUAAUUACAUAUUUUUUUCUCAACGAAAAAAGUCAUAAGAGAUAUUUUUAUUUUAUCAGAAAAUAGUAUAUGAUUAAAUUAUAAUUUAUUUUGCUUUAAAGAUAAUAAAAUUCAACUUAUAAAUGUAUGGAAUAUUAUGUAUAAUAAACAUAAUAAACGGACUUUUUCAUGGGUCUGGGCCAGGUCCGGGUCCAGACGAUUGAGUACUGGACCCGGACCCGGCCCAGACCCGGAUGAAGUUCAUGGGUCCGGCUCAGCCGUUCGAGACCUAGCCCAUUUACAGCCUUAAUUAAAAUAUGUAUUUAAAAUACAAUCAAAUUGUAUUACGUAUUUUGUGAUGUUAAAUUUAAAUAAUUUUGGUACGUCAAUCACAAAUUAUUAAUCGUACAUUUUCUUUUUAAUACUAUCCUUAGAUUGUCCACAUAUUUUAUGGUAUUAAAAGAAAAUGAUUUAAACACGAAAAUAUGUGUCUAUCGUAAAUUUAAGAUUAAUUAAAAAACAACUAAACAUAGGUAUUUUUAAACAUUAUUUUUUUUUUCCUCAACAAAAAAAAGUCAGAAGAGUUUUUUUUUUAUUUAUACGAAAAUAUGUGUUGAUCACAAAUUUAUUAUAAGUGAAAAACAACUAGGGCAAUGGUAUUUGUCAAUAUUAAUUGCAUAUAUUUUGUCAACGAAAAAUGUCAGAAGAGAUAUUUUUUUUGAUUUUAUCAGAAAAUAUUUGUUCAUUACAAAUAUAUUAUAAGUGAAAAACAACUAGGGCAAGGGUAUUCGAUAACAUAAAUACAUAUUUUUUCUCAACGAAAAAAGUCAGAAGAGAUUUUUUUUUAAUUUUUUCAGAAAAUAUGUGUUGAUCACAAAUUAGAAUAUGUAUUUAAAAUACAAUCAAAUUAUGCUACGUAUUUUGUGAUGUUAAAUUUAAAUAAUUUGGAUACGUCAAUAACAAAUUAUUAAUCGUACAUUUUCUUUUUAAUACUAUCCUUAGAUUGUCCACAUAUUUUAUGGUAUUAAAAGAAAAUUAUUUAAGCACGAAAAUAUGUGUCUAUCGUAAAUUCAAGAUUAAUUAAAAAACAACUAAACAAAGGUAUUUUUAAACAUUAAAUUUUUUUUUUCUCUCAAUAAGAAAAGUCAGAAGAGAUUUUUUUUUUGAUUUAUACGAAAAUAUGUGUUGAUCACAAAUUCAUUAUAAGUGAAAAAUAACUAGGGCAAUGGUAUUUGUCAAUAUUAAUUGCAUAUUUUUUGUCAACGAAAAAUGUCAGAAAAUAUAUUUUUUUUGAUUUUAUCAGAAAAUAUUUGUUCAUUACAAAUAUAUUAUAAGUGAAAAACAACUAGGGCAAGGGUAUUCGUUAACAUAAAUACAUAUAUUUUUCUCAACGACAAAAGUCAGAAGUGAUUUUUUUUUUUUCCAGAAAAUAUGUGUUGAUCAUAAAUUAUUAUAAAUGAAAAACAACUAGAGCAAGGGUAUUUGUCAACAUUAAUUACAUAUUAUUCUCAAUGAGAGAAGUCAGAAUUAAAAGAUUUUUUUUUUGAUUUUAUCCAAAAUAUGUGAUGAUCAAAUAUUCAUUGUUAUUGAAAAGCAACUAAGGUAAGGGUAUUUGUCAAUAUUUAUUACAUAUUUUUUCUCAACGAGAAAAAUCAGAAUUAAGAUAUUAUUUUUUUUGAUUUUAUCAAAAAUAUGCGUUGAUCGCAUAUUCAUUAUAAGUAAAAACAAACUAGGGCAAUGGUAUUUGUCAACAUUUAGUACAUAUUUUUUUUCAACAAAAAAGUCAGAAGAGAUAUUUUUCGAUUUUAUCAGAAAAUAUAUGUUCAUCACAAGUUCAUUACAAGUGAAAAAUAACUUAGACAAGAGUAUGUCUCAACAUUAAUUACAUAUUUUUUCUCAACGAGAAAAGUCAGAAGAGAUAUUUUUAUUUUAUCAGAAAAUAGUAUAUGAUUAAAUUAUAAUUUAUUUUGCUUUAAAGAUAAUAAAAUUCAACUUACAAAUGUAUGAAAUAUUAUGUAUAAUAAACAUAAUUAGAAUAUAUAUUUAAAAUACAAUCAAAUUGUGUUACGUAUUUUGUGAUGUUAAAUUUAAAUAAUUUGGAUACGUCAAUCACAAAUUAUUAAUCGUACAUUUCCUUUUUAACACGAUCCUUAGAUAUAUUUGAAUUUUAUAAAAGCUUUAAUAUACAAUGAACAUGGGCCUAUAUUUUAUACUCAACUUAUUAAAUUCACAUUGUAGAAAUGUUGUAUAAAUAUGCGUGUGUAUGAUAAGUUUAAACACAUCACAAUUUCCCAAAGUUUGAUACUAAAUUCUUGCCAUUAAUUCACCAUGCCAUAUCUUAUCUUCCUUGCGAUCUUCCUCCUCGCAUCCAUAACAACAUCAUCCGGACAAGUCUGUAGUGCAGUCAAUAGCAACUUCCCUAAUGGUGCCCGGGUCAGUAACGUUGGUAUGGUGAAGUUCUUCAUCGAUCCGACUAGUCCUCCUGAUAUUCCAUUUUACAUCCGCAAAAGAAUAUUUACAAAGGCUUUCAAUGAAUGGGAACGUGUGACGUGUAUAAAUUUUGCAAUUGUAAGUUCCUAAGUUAGUGUACAUAUAUUUAUUUAUAACUUAACAUAAUUAUCAUCAACAAUAUAAUACUCAUCUAAUCGAUAUUUUAUUCACAGACAUCGGUGAAGAGUAGGGCCGACAUAGUUCUUCAAUUCUCGCCAGUAGCUGGCAAUAACCGUGUAGCUACGGCCACGGCUCCUCCAACUCAAGUAACGCUCACUUUUGAUUCAGGAGAGAUUUGGUCAGAAACCCC